UGACCUCAAAUCAGGUAGGAUUACCCGCUGAACUUAAGCAUAUCAAUAAGCGGAGGAAAAGAAACUAACAAGGAUUCAAG
rnacentral:rRNA from 1 species